GGCAGGUUGCCCGAGCGGCCAAUGGGAGCGGACUGUAAAUCCGUCGGCGUUAGCCUUCGUUGGUUCAAAUCCAACACCUGCCA
rnacentral:tRNA from 1 species